rnacentral:rRNA from 1 species
GAAGGUCCGGGCGUUAUCCGGAUUUAUUGGGUUUAAAGGGAGCGUAGGCGGACUUUCAAGUCAGUGGUAAAAUCGUGUGGCUCAACCAUACCUCGCCAUUGAAACUGGAAGUCUGGAGUGCACACAGGGGUGCCGGAAUUCAUGGUGUAGCGGUGAAAUGCUUAGAUAUCAUGAAGAACUCCGAUCGCGAAGGCAAGUGCCCGGGGUGCAACUGACGCUGAGGCUCGAAGGUGCGGGUAGCGAA